rnacentral:misc_RNA from 1 species
AUCAAUAUCUAAGUCUACUAGUGCCUUUUCUUUUCCACCAUUUUCACCCCAAAUUUAUUCAUAAAAACUUGAUGCAAAUUCUUUUCUCAAACAUCCAUAAGUCCCUUGAGAUUACAACUUUUCAUAAGUUUUUUUUUCUUAUAAAAUGGUAAAACAUAACUCCCUCAUAUGUUUUAGCCAUCAGAUGAUGACUGGUUCUAAUUUGUAGAGUUCUUCAGCACCCAUUCCACCAAAGUUGAAACACCAAAACCCGUGGCGUUUUUCUUUUUAUCACUCCAGACAGGACCAGCUAAGUCGAUAUGCAUCCAUUGGACCUUCUCGUUAACAAACUGCUUCAGGAAGAGAGCAGCGGUUAUCGCACCACCUGGACGACCUCCCGUGUUCACCAUAUCAGCCACUCCUGAUUUCAUAGAGUCCCAGUAGCUAUCCUCCAUCGGCAACCUCCAUAGUUUUUCACCGCUUACCUCAGAAGCUGCAACCACCUCCUUAGCUAGGUCAUCGCUAGGUGUAAAAAUACCAGCAAUUGAAGGCCCAAGAGCAACCACACAAGCACCAGUUAAUGUUGCCAAAUCAACUAUCUUUUCUACACCUUGGUUACAGGCAUAUACCAACGCAUCAGCAAGUGUGAGUCUACCCUCAGCAUCCGUGUUGUUAACCUCAAUUGUCUUCCCAUUUGAAGCAGUGAUAAUGUCUCCAGGCCUCAUGCCUGUCCCACUGAUCAUAUUCUCACAAGCUGCAACAAUGAAAUGCACCUCUACUCCAGCGGGUUUUAUCUGACCAAGAGCUUUUGCUGCACCCAAAACAGCUGCAGCCCCUCCCAUGUCAAACUUCAUUAGCUCAAUAGAACAACCAGGUCCAGUCUUGAUGUUGUAGCCACCACUG